CCCGGCCCCCUGCCCUCGGGGCUGCGCGGCGGCGCCGGGACCGCGGCGAUCCUCGCCCCCUCCUGCCGCCGGGGGGGUCGCAAGCGGCGGGUCGAGCGGCAGCUCCUCCGUCGGCUGCCGGGAGCGGAGGGGGCGGCGGAGCCGGCUUCUCCCGGGACGGGCUGGUUGGCCCGGGCAGGCCGGGGACAGGCGCUGGGCCGGGCUCGGUGGGAGAGGGGCCGGGGCUCGGCAGGGCAAGUGCCCCCCGCGCUGCGGAGCCGCUGCCCGCGGCGGAGCGUGCUCGGGUGCCUUAGGCCGGAGGUGCCAGGGAGGAAAGGGAAACAAAGCAAAAAAGAAAAAAAAAAAAAAAAGAAAAAGGAAAGUUAAAAAGCAGAGAGAAAACCAAGAGAGCUUUCUAAAAAUCCGGCUGCUCCCUCCGAAGCGAUUUUCUUCCUACGUGCACCAAAAAUCCCCCAAUAAAACCACCCUAAUAUCCCCCCAAAACGGAUUUUUUUUUUUUUUUUUUGUGAAAGACGGGCGAGUAUAAAUAAACUCUAGCGUUUGCAGGUAGGUCCCCUUGGCGCCUCGUUCCACCCACAGCCCGGAGGCUGCCGGAGCCGGGGAACACCGUGCCCGGGGGGCUCUCUCCCGCUGCAGCAGGGCGGCGGGCAGCCGGGAUCACCCCGGCCCCUCCGGCUCCGGCUCCCGGCGAAGCCUAGCGCCUCGCUAUGCCCUUAUUAAUUAAUAUGGAUGUUUUAAUUAUUACCCGCCUGCCAUCAGCACGGGGCCGCGAUUUUUUUUUUUGGGGGGGGGGGGUGGGGUGGGCUGUUUGUUUUAGGCAGGUGAUAAAAUCGCAGUUAACGAGCUGAUAAUUCGUUCGUGUUUGUUUUAAAAGACAAAUUGUAAAGAUUAAUCAGGCGGCUUGAUUUAUGGCGAGGCAGACCCCGGCGCUGCCCGGCCAGGGCUCCCUGAAGCCCCCGGCUCGGGUUACCCGGGGGCCGGCAGGCGAAGCAAAACAAAAGGGGCGAGCGGGCAGCGGCUCCGGCCGCGCUGCCUCGGGUCGGGCCCCCCGCCCCGGCGCCCGCCCCCACCCCCCCCACCCUCCCCCUCGGGCCGGGGGGUCCGGCGGCCCCCUCCCCGCCGCCGGGGUGCUGGCACUGCGGCCGGCGCCUCUCCUCGCACCCAACUCUCGCGUUUUGCAGCCCCCCCCCCCCCCCCCCCUUCCAUUAAAACCCUUUGUAAAAUAAAAUGACCCCCUCCAGCAGGGAUGAACGAUUUCUGCUGAGGGAGCGGUUUAAUUCCCGUGGCUGAGCUGGGAGAUUUCCUAGCCAGCCGGCUCUCAGGAUUUUACUUUAUUUUAUUUUAUUUCUUUCCCCGCCGCGUCCCGUUCCUGCUGCCUGCGUUUGGCGAACAGGCUGCCGGCUCCGGUCUCGGCCGCUAAAUGCCCCGGCGGCACGGCUGGGGUUUUUAAUUGAAUUAAUUCACCCAUCGGGAACAUCGGCAAGCCGCGCUGGCUGCUGGAGGCGAGCAGCUUAGCUCCGCUCCGCAGCCCGCUUCACACGGCUGGUUAAGCAGCUCUCCCCUCAAUUUUCUGCCAAGCCUCCAGGGAGAGGGUCCUGCCGGGCCCAGGACGCGCCCUGCUCCCUCACCCCGCUCCUUGCAAACCCCCAAUUGCCACCUUUUCUCCCUUUUUUUUCCUUUUUUUCUUUUUUUUCCCCGACACAACGGGCUCCGCUUUAUGAACUUUAUUUUGUUACUGCCGUUGCAAUUUUUUUUCUUUUUCAAUAAGGGAGCUUUCCCAGAUCUGGAAGCACGACUGGUUAUUUUGAUUUGAUUGACAAGUGAUGUCAUAUCGUUAAGGGAGGGGGGAGACGACAACAUGUUUUAGCAACAGUUAGCAGCGCCAUGUGAUGGAGUUGACACCUAUGCCCAGGCAGAGGCGAAGGCAGAAAACAAAUACCCCCGGCCGUGCACGCAGACUAUUUAUUUACACGCCCGGACUGGCGUUUCUUCCUCUUCCUCACCCCCCCCACCCCGAUCCUGGGUGCUUGGACCUGAGAAAAAGUGUACCUGAGCAAAGGGGGCUGGGCUGGGUGGGACCCGCAGCCCCCGGGGCACUUUCCUCCAGACACCCCCCUUCCCGGGGUGCCCCCGACGCGCCCCCCCCCCGCCCCGUCCAGGGGCCACGCUCCCUCCCGGUGAACGGAGACCCGGGGGUCAAGACCUCCCGGGGCGGCCAUGCAGCAUCCUUCCCCCCGCGCUCCGCGCUCCGCCCCGAAGUGCAACCGGCGGCGGCCGCAAGCAGGGAGGGCAGGAAAAACUCCUCGAAAAGGAAGAAAAAGAGGGAGAGGAGCGCUCAGCCCCGCGCCGGGCCGCGGUACUCCCGGCCGCCGGGCGAUGUGCGAGCCCCGGGGCGGGCCGGGGAAGGCGGCUGCCCUCCGGCGGGGAGGGGGCUAGGAGGGCCGGCUGCGGGCUGUGGGCGUACCGCCCCGACCCCCCCCUCCCGCUCCGCCGGGGGCCGCGGCAGGUAGAGGACCAGCCGGCCGGUGCGAGCGGCUGCCGCCCGCCCGCAGGUUAUUUCGGGCGCAGCUGUUGCAGGAGGGAGGAAAGAGGCCGAUCUCGCAGUCUUUCGGGCAAUGCACCUGCACGUAAGGGAGGCAGCGGAGAAGCUGGAAGAGGCACAAGCAGAUAUUACGCGACGAGUCGUUGUUAUAGCUAGGAAAGAAACGGAAGAGGGAGACGCUGUCGCCAGCCGCACCCUGGGAUCGCCCCUGCACGGAACGACUCUAAAACGAGGGACCGUCGCUCAGGCGGACAAACUACGGCAAAAGCGGGGUUUGAAGCCUGCAGAUUUUUCCCCUAGCUGGGACAGACGGGGGUGUCCGAGCCGGGGGCUGGGGGGGCUGAGCCCGGCGGAGGCACAGGGCUGCCCACCCGAGGCUCACCGCGCUGCUGCCUGCUCGCCGGCCGGGCUGUCCCGGGACCAGGGCCGACCCCCCAAGUGCCACCAGAGGCAUUUGGGGCCGGAGGGGCGGGGGGUUGCGAUUUUCCCCUCAUGUCCGCUGGAAGAGAAGGAUGUUUUCCUCUGCUGUUUAGCUUUCGUGCUAAAGAUGUCAUCUGAAAGUCUGGGAGGAAGGGGGGAAUUGUGAUCUGCUCUCUUCCACGAUUAUCGGAACCCUUUCAAAACUCACACAACAAAUACAGCCACCGCAUCUAAUGCAUCAUUUACCAGAGCAGAUCUCCGCGUUUGAUCGGCAGAUAGGCAAAAUCUAUGUAUUCCUUGCUUUACUUAGUAUGCAUGGACGCGGGGCUGCUGUGCAUGCAGGGUGCCCCCCGGCUGGGCCUGGGACACCCCCGAAGCUCUUAGCACACGCAGGUCUUUGCUGUGGACUCCGUGGAGUGACAAGAGUGUCCCCUGCCUGUCCCGGACCCGGGGGAGCAGGGUGGGACAGCAACCCACCUUGCAAGGUGCUGCUGUGCGGCACGCUUGGAAAUUUGGGGUUGCUCCUCUGGGGAGCUAGUGGAUUUGCAGGGAGAGGGGAAGAGCUGUGAGCAUCAUGCUGGGCACCCCAGGCACCUGCUCACACUCACGCUCGCUCCUGCACCCACAGUUGCAUUCACCCAUGCCCACGAGCGGCUGCUGAGCCCCAGCUGCGUGGCAGCACCCCUGUGCUCCAGAAAGCCACUUUUAGGCUCAGCUGUGCCCUAGUCCUGCCCCAGCCCUCGGCAGUCUCGGGGCCCAGCUGGACCAGCCUGGUAAAACCUCCCGGUGCCCCCCCCCCCCAGCUUGUCCCCCCUAAAAUCCUGGCAGGCCAGCCGUGGAGUCCCCCAGGGGCUGGGGCCAGCUUCCAGCCCUCCCUGAUGGUGCUGGGUGCUCCCCCCACAUCCCAGCCCCAGGCAAAACAGGGCACCCAGGGCAGCCCAAAUUUGGGGAGCAACUGGUGAUCCUGGGGGAGAAAAACAAACAAAUAAACUCCACAGAAAGGGAGUCCUUCUAUGCUCCUGGAGUUAGUGUGAACUCUGUCCCUUCCAGCUCAGGGUGGUAUCAGGUUUUCCUUUCUUUCUUUCUUCUCUUCACUCUUCUUUCUUUUCUUUCUUCUCACAACACCCCCCUUCUCCCCCCCCCCCCCCCCCCCCCCCCCCGGUUUUCUUGUUUCUUACUUCCCCCCCCCCCCGCCCAAAAAAAACCCCCCAUCUGCAUAACAGUAAAUGCCUUCCAGUCUGGCUAUGCAGCCCCCAGCUCCAGAGCAGAUCCCUCAGCCCCGAGCUGGGGACAGAUGUCCCCUCAACUCUCACCCACCCCUUCCUUCCCUAGCAGCACCUAAGCUUGUGCCCAGGUACCAAACAAGGUGGCAUUUUAUUCUGCGCCACCACAGCACACCCCUGUGUCCCCAGCUCUGCCCUGGACCCCCCAGCCCAGGGGGCCAGCAAGAUUCUGGGUCGGGGAUGGGACAUCCACAGUGUCCCAGUCCCCUCUGCCUGUCCAGCAAUGCUCAUCCCUCCCCUGCCUGGAAAGGGAGAGAAACUUUUGUGGGAAGUUGUGGGCAAGCAGCAACCCCAGCCAGCCCCUGCCCAUGCUCAAGAGUUUUGCAAAUGUUCAACUUGUACUAAUUUUUUUAUGGCUGUAUUCGCAGUUGUUCCCUGUAAAAAAUGGACCUGUGUUAGUUUAUUAAUAACCUAAACAUUACGUAUUAAAGACCUAUGAGUGACACAAGAUGACAAAAAGCUGUAUUUUUCCAAUAUACACAAGCACACAUUUAAUAACCUUCUAUUGCAUCUCAGCUAGGCCUUCUCUCUGAUGGUUCCCAUGGCAACUGAGAUAAAAAAGCAGCCAUUUUCCAUAUCUCUAUGAAAGUCUAUUAUAUUGCAGGAUUAGUUCAUCUUCUGCUAAGGUCAAACACAAAGUCAUACAACCUGAAAUAUUUAGAAUCCAUGUACAUUCAUUUUUUUAUAUGCCCUUUCAUUUUCCACAAAAGACUGGGCUCCUCUGAGGUUUUAUUCCCCAGAAAAUGCUAAGCAAAGCAAUAAAAAAAUCAUGAUUAGCAGCUGA